rnacentral:rRNA from 1 species
UACGAAGGGGGCUAGCGUUGUUCGGAAUUACUGGGCGUAAAGCGCACGUAGGCGGAUCGAUCAGUCAGGGGUGAAAUCCCGCAGCUCAACUGCGGAACUGCCUUUGAUACUGUCGGUCUAGAGUAUGGAAGAGGUGAGUGGAAUUCCGAGUGUAGAGGUGAAAUUCGUAGAUAUUCGGAGGAACACCAGUGGCGAAGGCGGCUCACUGGUCCAUUACUGACGCUGAGGUGCGAAAAGCGUGGGGAGCAAACAGG